GGAACUGCAUGUCUAGUAUAGCACUUUAUAUUGUGGAACUGGCGAAGGGCUCAUUAAUUCAUUUACGAUCUUCUUGACAUAUUCUUUACCACGUGGACCACCGUGGUAUUUCUAGAGCUAACACGCGCAAAACCUCCAAACUCAAAAGGGGGUGCACUUAUUAGAUAAAGCCAUGCUGGGUAAAACCCCUUGCCCUUGGUGAUUCACUUAACUUAACCGGAUCGCAUGGCCCUGUGAUGGCGACAUCCCACUCGAUUUUCUGCCCUAUCAUGGUUGAGAUGUGGACAAAGGCUUACGAUGCCGACAACGGGUAACGGGGAAUUAAGGUUCGAUUCCGGACAGGGAACCUGAGAACCGGCUACCACGUCCGAGGAAGGCGCCCAGCGCGCAAAUUACCCACUCCCGACGGGGGGGAGUAGUGACAAUGAAUAACAGUGCUUGGCCUUUACGGUCUUGCAAUUGGAAUGAUUACAAUUUAUAUCCCUUAACCAAGAUCAAUUGAAGGGCGAGUCCAGUGCCCGCAGCCGCUCCAACUCCAACUCCGAUAACGUAAAUUGAAGUUGUUGCAGUUCUAACAUCCGAACUCUGAUUUUGGUCUUUAGAUGAGGUGGCCUGGUCUUCAUUGAUCAAGCUCGCUUUUAUCUUCUACUUUAAUCUCUGGUUAUGCUAUGAAUAGCUUCGGUUGUUUAUACUCUCUAUGCAAAUGAUUACCAGUGAUCAAAUCAGAGUGUUUAAAGCAUGCUUUCACACGUGAAUGUGUUAUCAUGCAAUAAUGAAAUAUGACUUUAGUCCCUAGAUCGUCGGUUCGAGAACUUAAGUUAUGAUGAAUACGAAACGGUUGGGGACAUUUAUAUUUAGGUCCCCUAGAUGUUGAUGUUCACGGACUGCCGCGAAAACAAUCUACUGCGAAAGCUUUCGAUACUCGAACGUUUUAAUUGAUCGAGGUCUAAAAUUAUCGGAUCCAGUACUAUUAUUUACGUCAUAUAUCGUCAACUAAAGCUAUGACGACGAUACAUUGAUCAUCGUUUAUGAUGACUAGCUCAACAAUCAUAGCUUAAUGUAAUCUUGUUGGAUCUGGGCGGGAGGACUGGAACCUAAGCUGAAUGCUGAAGGAAUUGCACCGAGGUGCAACAGGAGCGUAACUGCGCCUCACUUUGAUACUCACAGGUACCUCACCCAGAUUCGGACGAUAGUAAAG
rnacentral:rRNA from 1 species